rnacentral:rRNA from 1 species
UGGGGAAUAUUGGACAAUGGGCGCAAGCCUGAUCCAGCCAUGCCGCGUGAGUGAUGAAGGCCCUAGGGUUGUAAAGCUCUUUCACCGGUGAAGAUAAUGACGGUAACCGGAGAAGAAGCCCCGGCUAACUUCGUGCCAGCAGCCGCGGUAAUACGAAGGGGGCUAGCGUUGUUCGGAUUUACUGGGCGUAAAGCGCACGUAGGCGGACUUUUAAGUCAGGGGUGAAAUCCCGGGGCUCAACCCCGGAACUGCCUUUGAUACUGGAAGUCUGGAGUAUGGUAGAGGUGAGUGGAAUUCCGAGUGUAGAGGUGAAAUUCGUAGAUAUUCGGAGGAACACCAGUGGCGAAGGCGGCUCACUGGACCAUUACUGACGCUGGGGUGCGAAAGCGUGGGGGGCAAACAGG